rnacentral:tRNA from 1 species
GCGGGUGUAACUCAGUGGUAGAGUGUUUGCUUCCCAAGCAAAAUGUCGAGGGUUCGAUCCCCUUCACCCGCUCCA